GUGGGGCAAUGGUUAAGUCCUCUUGGCUGCAAACCAAAAGGCUGGUGGUUUGAACCCAUUC
rnacentral:tRNA from 1 species